rnacentral:rRNA from 1 species
AGAGUUUGAUUAUGGCUCAGAGCGAACGCUGGCGGCAGGCUUAACAGAUGCAAGUCGAGCGGGCGUAGCACUACGUCAGCGGCAGACGGGUCGAGUAACGCGUGGGAACGUACCUUUUGGUUCGGAACAACACAGGGAAACUUGUGCUAGUACCGGAUAAGCCCUUACGGGGAAAGAUUUAUCGCCGAAAGAUCGGCCCGCGUCUGAUUAGCUAGUUGGUAGGGUAACGGCCUACCAAGGCGACGAUCAGUAGCUGGUCUGAGAGGAUGAUCACCACAUUGGGACUGACAACGGCCCAAACUCCUACGGGAGGCAGCUGUGGGGAAUAUUGGACAAUGGGGGCAACCCUGAUCCAGCCAUGCCGCGUGAGUAAUGAAGGUCCUAGGGUUGUAAGAUCUUUUGUGCGGGAAGAUAAUGACGGUGCCGUAAAAAUUAGCCCCGGCUAACUUCCUGCCAGCAUCCGCGGGAGUACAGAACGGGGCUAGCGUUGCUCGUAAUCACUGGGCGUGAAGGGUGCGUACGCGGGUCUUUAAGUCAGGGGUGAAAUCCUGGAGCUCAACUCCUGAACUGCGUUUGAUACUGAAGAUCUCGAGUCCGGGACAGGUGAGUGGAACUGCUAGUGUACAGGUGAAAUUCGUAGAUGUUCGCAAGAACUCCAGUGGCGAACGCGGCUCACUGGCUCGGUACUGAUCCUCAGGUACGAUAGCAUGAGGAGCUAACAGGACUAGAUACUCUGGUAGUCCACGCCGUAGACUAUGAAUGCCAGCCGAUAGUGGGUCUACCCACUAGUGGCGCAGCUCACACUUUUAACAAUCCGUCUGGCGAGUACGGUCGCAAGAUCAACACUCAUAUGAAUUGACGGGG